rnacentral:rRNA from 1 species
UUGGAGGGCAAGUCUGGUGCCAGCAGCCGCGGUAAUUCCAGCUCCAAUAGCGUAUAUUAAAGUUGUUGCAGUUAAAAAGCUCGUAGUUGAAUUUCGGGAUGAUCAGGUUGGUCGUGCCAUUGGUAUGUACUAGCUUUGGUGGUUCCUACCUCUUGAAGAACCGUAAUGUCAUUAACUUGGUGUUGCGGGGAAUCAGGACUGUUACUUUGAAAAAAUUAGAGUGUUUAAAGCAGGCAAACGCUUGAAUACAUUAGCAUGGAAUAGUGAAAUAGGACGUUUGAUCUUAUUUUGUUGGUUUCUAGGAUCGACGUAAUGAUUAAUAGGGAUAGUUGGGGGCAUUAGUAUUCAAUUGUCAGAGGUGAAAUUCUUGGAUUUAUUGAAGACUAACUACUGCGAAAGCAUUUGCCAAGGAUGUUUUCAUUAAUCAAGAACGAAAGUUAGGGGAUCGAAGACGAUCAGAUACCGUCGUAGUCUUAACCAUAAACUAUGCCGACUAGGGAUCGGAUGAUGUUAAUUUUUUAAUGACUCAUUCGGCGCCUUACGGGAAAC